rnacentral:lncRNA from 1 species
GGGAUGGAGGUCUCAAAAUCCACGAAAAGUCUGAUACGUACAGCUUCCGUAAACCAAACGUAUCAAGUGAAUUCAACACGUGAUGACUGGUGACUAAAAUUCCAUAAUACGAACAUUCAAGUUGAAGUCGUCUUAUCUUAACAUGAAGGGUAGAGAUUAGCUUAAUUGUGAACGUUUUCUGUGUUUUAUACCCACGUGUUAGAGCGGGUUGGAAAAUGUGUUGGGGGCAGGGAGGCAUGAGGGUGCAAGUGGCUUUGGCUCCGUUUCUGUAAACACUUGCGAUCUAUAAACAUCUAGGCGGAGCCAAUGAUAUGUUUUGCUAAUCUAAUAGUUCAGAUUGUGUCCAUAUGGCAAACAAUCUUUAAGUAAGUUUAGAUACUUAUACGCAUGUAAAGAUUUGAAUUCAAUAACGUCUGAAUUUACUGCUUAUUUCAUACUAUUUUUGUGUACUAUUGGACCACUUAGGUUGGUUGGUAUUGGGAGUGAAUGAUUGCAUGCACAUAUAUCAAUUUAGUGCCCACUACACACUGUUUCACAGGCUUGAAUGCAUAAUAGUGCAGUUUCUAUAAGUAGGGAGUGAUGUCAAAGGAUGCUUGUAAAAAGGGGAAGAAUCGUUUGCUAAGCUUGGCAAGGCAUUUCAUGGAUAAUGGGACACCCACCUAACAACGACCAUGAUGGUACUACCAUUAUAUACCAACUUUUUUCUUUUGGGUACUAAUAUAUAUUAUUGUAUGGUUCCAAUUAUAUUUCCCACUUUUCCUCUUGUAUUUUGUGGGAAUUUUUUUUGUUUUUUUGUUUUGUAAAUAAAUUCUUUGUUUUGCAACUCAUUAUAGUAUUUACUCUCAAAUUUCCAAUAAUUCUUUUUUUUUAAAACAAAUAAUAUUAUGUGCACUAAAGAUGAGAGAUAGAAUUAACCAUGGAAGAUAUCUUAUAUUUAUUUUUAAAGCAUAAAAUUUAAAAGUAUUGCAAUCGUUGGCUCUAUUUGCUAUACAAGUAAGGAUAAUACUUGCAUUCUUCCUUUGAUAAUGAGCUCAUUUCUUCAUUUGCAAAUAAUGUAUCUUCACUGUAGACAGUGUCUUACCUUUCAUUUGAAGAUCAUUCCUACAAAAAUUCUCUUGAAUCGGAUAUCGUUUAGUCAUUCAAAUUGUAUCAAACAAACCAACAAUGUAGGUACCAAGUGAUAAAUUAAUGGCGAACCAUCCAUUUACUUGAUACAUUUGAUGGACUAAACGAUCUCUGUUUUGAAAGAUUUUUGUGAGUAUGAUCUUCAAAUGAGGAUUAAGACAUUGAACAAUUAUGAUUAUAAAGUUUCUACGAUAAAGACACGUUAUUUAUAAGUGGGGAAUGAGUUCAUCCUUCAAGAAGGGAAUGCAAGUAUUAUUCUAAAAUUAAAACCAGAAAACAGAAAUGUAAAGACCAUUGGAUGGCAUACCAAAAAAGAAUUUUUAAAAGCAAAUCCUCGAAUAGUUUGGACUCACAAAAGAUGUUAGAAACGUAGAAGUGAAAUUUUAACCUUCCUUAGCCUUGAAGGUUCUUUUGGGGAUCCUUAGAUGUUAGAUGAGAGGUAUAUGGCCUUAUGCUACUGUGCUAGUUUCCUCUUUUACUUAUCCAAUUCUACUUUUUGUAACCUUUGGAUUCCACUAGGUUAAAAGAACUUCCGAGUAUUUUUUUCAAAUGGAAGAUGAAGUCACAAAAGGCUUCUCCUCACAAAGUUAGUCCUGCAAAUAACAGAGGAAAGAUGAAAAACCAUGCAGAUAUUUUGUGGAGAUAUAAGUAUACGAGAGUGGCUUGUACCUUACCAACUAGACAUCUAUGCUUAUUUUUUACGUAAUUUGCGUUUACUAACAUAUAAGAAAAAAAAAACGUAAGUAGGUCUCACGUCCCUCUACCACAAUGUGAAAAUUUUCAAAGACAGUCUAGGUAAUCUUACCUCUAUUUUAAAGAUUUUUAUAAUUUAACUUUAGAGUGAUAGAGCAUUUUUAAGUGGGGUUAAAGAACAACCAAGGGCCUCAAGAAGGAGAGAGACUUAUCUACAUUGUUGUAUGAUAAAGUUACACUUCGUUACCAGUUUUAGAUAUAAUCACGAUUAUGCUUUGUUUGGUAAUCUAAAAUUUACACAAAAUUGAAAAUCGAAAACAAUUAGAAUUUCUUCAACCAGUGUAAGAUAAUCUUUCUGAAAACUUAAGUCACCAAAUGAAUUAUGGGUUCGAAAUUGAAAAAUAAAUGAUUGUCAAACAGAAAAUUCUCGAUUAAUCCUGGCAACAUUGUACAUAAGACCAAAAGUAAGAAAGGUCCAAAAUUUUGAUUCUAAUUGCGAACCCCAAUAACAAAUCGAAAUUGUGACAUACAAUUCACAUUGCUAAAACUCCAAUAAUUCACAUGUCUGAGAGGACUCAUGUCACUCAUCAUCUCCACUCCACUCCCCAGACAAAGACUGCAUGCAGAUUGCAGGUGAAUUGUAUUCUUCGAUGGGAAUGGGGUAUUUUAACAGAGACAACAACGGAGGGAGUGAAUAAUUGGAGAUUGAGUGGCUCAUGAAUUUGCAACGCUUGCUUUUGCACUUUGCAGGCACAUUAUUGAUAUUUUGGCCCAACUCCAAGGGCACAGAAUAAAUUCCAAUAGAUAAAAAAAUAAUAAUAAUAAAAGAAAAAAAAAAAAUAUAUAUAUAUAUAUAUAUAUAUAAAGUUGGAAGAAACGAAUGAAUAAGAAAAAUGGAAACGUGGCGUGGUGAGGGAGGAGGUGGUGCAUCGCUGCAAAGCAUGAGGGAAGGCACGUGGAAAAGAAUAACCUUGAAAACUGCAACAAGUUACCUAAAAAUAAUAAAUUUAAACACUCUAUUCAUUUGGUUCCAAUAGUAUUUUAAAUUGUCAUUUAGUAUCACAGUCUAGUAGAAUUCGUUUGAAAUUUUCAUUUUAAAAGACGCUUCACGUUCAAUGAAACUCUUCUACUAGAAGCACAUUGAAAUUUUUAGUAAAAAUAAAAGUGUUCACUAGAAAAGUGCUUUGAAGAUAAAGGCACUUCUAACUUUUUCGGUUAAAAAAAGUAAGAAUCACUUUUGGUGAUCUAAAGUCAUUUAACUUAUUGUAAAAGUACUUCUAAAUACGCUUAUUUCCCUCUACCUAUAAAUUUCUUAAAUUUGACUUCUUUAUAACGUAUUAUGGCAAGUCUUAUUGUAUGGCUUAACCCAACAUCGGCUUCUUUACUGUAAAUAAUAUAGAUAUUAUUGCAAGUUAUUGAAUUAAGUGUGCGACAAGGGGUGGCGUAAGGUGAUCUGGGUGUGCUGGUUUGCUCCCCGACUGUGCCUGCAAUCUGCAUGCUCCCAUGCAUGUAUACUGGUGCAAUGCAACCCUCCUCUCUUUUAACUUAUUCAAUAAGCUUCCAAAGUCCGCCUCCCUUUACUGCUUCUGCGCUUCUACUUCCCCGGCCACUCUUAUCAUCCUGCAAUCCACAAACCUCCUCUCUUUUAACAACAAAUCUUGUAUAUAUUCAUGACCUAUACUUUGGCUACUCAAAGGAUGAGUAGGAGUUUUACUUAAAAUUGUCCAAUGUCAAUUUACAGAACUUUGUGUUUAUGAUCGGAACCGUUCAUGUUAUAAAUCAUUAUGUAAAAAUCGCCUCUGCAAAAAAUCAAUUAAAACUAGGUUUGUUUAGUCAUCAAAUUGUACAAAAAUAGAUGAACAUAAUUGGUAAAAGAAUUAUAGACCGUCUAUGUAUUUGCUACACUAGAUUAACUAUACAACCUUAGUUUUAAUUUAUUUUUUGCAAAAGAUGAUAUUUACAAAGUGAUUCAUAAUAUAAACAUUUUGAUCAUAAGCACAAAACUUUGUAAUUCGAAUACGAAGAAUUUUGAGUAUGAGCUUUUACUCAUCCUUGAGUAGUCAAGCAUUAUUCUGUAUUUAUUAAUGUUGAUAACUAUGAUGUUGUCAUAUACUGUUAUUGUCGUUGUCCUAUCUUAUCGUUUAUGUUGUGGGAUUAUGAAUCUAUACUAUUCAUCAUAUUAAAGUUAGACAAUUUAAUGACAUAACAUAUUAAAUUCAACUAUAAUCUCUUCUCAUCCCUCGCAUUGAACCUAAAAUAUUGAUCGAGCGGACUUUUAAUUUAAUGCCUAUAUCCAUAUAAAUAAUCUAGAUUCAUUAGUGUAAUGUACCAUAACAUGUCAAAUACUACGACAAUAUAACAUUAUCAUUCAUCACAUGUGAAACUAAAUUGUUUGUAAGUUAGAAGUUUAUUUAAAUGGUGUGCAUGGAAGCAAAAAAUUCAGAUUUACAUACAUAAUUUAACAACAUAACAUGUCAAACCCUGCAUCAAUUAGGCAUGUUAUAUAAAUCCAUUGGCAUUGAAUUUCAAAGACAUUGUUACAUCAAUACUUUGACUAAGGAUGUAAUUAUAAAAAAUUUCACAAUCUGGAUUUUUAGAGGGUAAAACUUGAAGUGAAAGUGUGGUUGGAACUUGGAGGAGAAGGUUGAGUUUCUUAAUUACUAAUAUUACAAAUUAUUCAUGUCACAGUAAUCCUACAUAAAACACAUCCAAAUCACACUUAAUUUCAACACAUUCUUCAACAACAGAAAACUAAACAGGAAAUCUAAGCUGGAUUUCUUCCAUUUUGCCAUGCAUGCUCAUGUUCUCUUUUUAUUUGGGGGGGGGGGGGGGGGGGGGAGCUGGAUUUCUUCCAUUUUGCCAUGCAUGCUCAUGUUCUCUCUUUUGUUGGGGGGGGGGGGGGGGAGAGAGAGAGAGAGAGAGAGCAAAGAGUAGCAAAUAAUUGAAAUAAUAUAUUUAGUAUGAACCUGUCUGCAAAGGGUUGUAACUCCCGACAAUACCACACAGACAAUGGAGUUCGUGGAAUGUGAUUGUUCUUUCUUAAUUGUUUUUUACAUAUGUUAAAUAGAACAAAGAGCUGGCUCCCCCCUGUAUGCUUAAUUUUUUAUUUUUUUUAAAGGGGGACAAUUGGUGGCAAGCCACAGUUAUCUAUCCCUUUUAAGGGCCGAGAAGACUCACAGAGGCAUUUCAGCCUUCUCAUGACCACAAGUCUAGCUUCCACACCAAUAACGGAUUUCUCUUGUAUGCUUAAUUAAAUUUAAUAGUUGAUACACCCUAAACCGCUAAACCCCAUACUUUGUCAGAAUGAUUACUAACUAAUUGUUCUGGUUUGAUUAUAAUAAUUAUAAUUAUGAACUUUACUUUAUGGGUUCAAUUAUUAAUGUCCCCGCAUCAAUUCCCUAACUUUCCUUGAAGCUUCUUUGUGUUCUUCAAACUCUCCAAUUCCCCCACCAAAAUCUCAAAAACAAUCAUGCAUGUAUCCCUCUAAAAAAAAAUAAGGGCUUCAAUCAUGCACUUUUUUACCUAAAGAAAUGUCUAACACCCGAUGCCUUUUGUGCUUUUAAUCAUUUUUGCAACAAAAAGCUCUUAUUAUUUGAAAAAUGACCUUUUCUGCUCCUUUCUCACCACCCUGUCCCUCUCCCACACAAUCUGGCUGGACUUUUGGUCUUCAUGAGCCCAUGCAUAACAAGCAAGAGGCUGUAUAUGUUGGGCUCUAAUUUCACUAGAUCUAGACCCAUAUUAUAUUAAAAGCAAGUAUUCAUUGUGUAAGACGUUUUUUGUUGAAGAGAGGACGUGCUACAAUGGCAUCGACACAUUACUGCUCACCCGUUCUUUAAUAUGUGUUUCAUAGUCGGUGUAUAUGAAAAAAAAAAUAAUAAUAAAUAAGAUUAUAUUCAGACUCUCCGUUCGUGCCAUGUCUGGACUAUUUAUAUAUAAAAAGAAUAUAUUCAGAUUCAGUAUCAAUUUUCUAAUAAGAACUAUUUCUGUAUGAAUUAUGGGACUUGCACUCUUUUAAUUUUGGUUGGACAUUUUUCUUUCUUUUUUUUGGUAAAUCAAUUGAACUUUGAAGCAGACAUGUUGGCAACACAAACAAUGAACCCCACCAACCGGAUAAAAACAAAUCCUACUAAAUUAUGUGUGUAUUAUGAAUUCAGACAAAACCUGGAAAAGAAUCUGAUCUAACUAAUACUUGAACCCUAGUUUGAAGAUUAGAAAUAAACUUUUAAAGGUUGGACAACAUAUCGCUUUAACAUUAUUUUUAAAGGUAGGGCAACGUCAUUACCAUGAAAGUUCUUGAUCCACAGCACUUUAUCCAUGCAUGGCUGUUUGGGCCCCACCUCUCGUUAGCCCCUUAAGAUUUGGAAAGUCUUGAGCUUUGGUCAAAUUGGUUCUGAAAUCUGCAUUAUCAAAGAAUACAAAGAAUGCGGUACUAAAUAGUAAAUAAUUGAACAGAUUUUCAACAAAUACAAAGAAUUUUUGUCCCCUACUCGUCCUAUGAAUUCGACAAGAUGAUUGAGAUCACUAAAAAUAUAGCAGAAAUGAGAUACCUUGGAUUGGAUGUGGCUUUCCUUCUUCUUUCCUUGCAAGAUUGUGAUCUUGGGUUUUGUUUCUUGUGUUGAACUGCAGCAAAAGGAUUGGAUAAUGCCCUUAUCUCUCUUAGUAAAUCUGAAUAUACAAUCUGGUCGAAGAAAAAGGAGCAUAAUGUUCUUGUUAAUACUUCAUAGUAUACUUACUUUGCAUCAAUUCAAUCAAACUUGUAUGGAAGUUUUAGUUGUUCCCAUCCGUCUGUAUAUUAUAUUACUAUCAGCUGCAGUUUGACGUGAAUCUCUGAAGGAGAACAGAACAGAUUAUUAUUCUCAAGAAAAAAAAAGUACAGAAAAGGAAGAUAGCUGGUUAAAAACUUAACUACAGAACUUCGUGACCUGUAUGUUGUGUGCGUCACAAUGCGCUUUUCACAUAUUUUGAACUCGCCAUCUAACUUCAUUGGCAACGACCAUGAUGUAUCAAUUGGUAUUAGGUUCUUUCUGCAUGGUUGACAUGUGCUCGAACAAGAAAUCAGCAGCAAUUCAGGUGCUCAAGCUCCAAUUUGUACACUUAAUCAACACACCUGAAAGGAAGAAACCUGUUUGUAGAACACAUUUCUACUUGUUACAUAAUCAUAUGUUGUAUAUCCUACUAAACUUAAGAACCCUAAGGAGCUGAGAAUGGCCACAAGCACAAGGUUAAAGGCUUGUCUGUAUAGCUUCACUUCUCCCGGAGGUCCAAUGUACCCCACAAGAGCUGUUCAUCAUGCGGCAUGGGAUGAAUUAGAUUUGCCCUUUCCUGUUGGCAGAUACUCUCAGCAUCUUAUAAGCCUGUUCUUCCGAUUGAUAUAUCCUUGGCACUGGCCCGCUUCUUGUUGGAAUUUCAUAAUGGAUUGCGUAAGGGCAGUACUGUAUUCUCUGUUAGGAUUAAUCUACUCAAGUUUGGAGAAGCUGAGAAAGCCAAAGUUUUAAAAUGCUGCAAAUUUCGAUAGUCAGUAACCAAAAAUUAAGACCUACAUUUUUCAUGUCGGUUUGGACUCUAGAGUAGUUAAUGACUUCACAUUUAAACAAAAUAAUCUUCUUGAACUCCAAAAUAAAGUGGUUAUUUUUUCAGAAAUUAAUUUGAUUUUCCCUCGAACGGGUUUGGUAUGAAAAGAACAUGCAAUCAGUGCCUGCUUGCAAGUAAUUACAUGUAAAGACAAUCAAAAGUGUGAACAAUUAUCAGGGUUUUAGAGCAUUCUAACUUACUGGUACAGCAGCACGACAAUUCUUCUAUACCCAAAAAUGCAUUUGGAGCAUACCGAAUGGGCCUCAGAUGAUCAGUAAUUGAUCCAGAAUGGAGUAUAUACUGCUUGAAGUUUUACGUCUCUUGUUGUCAACCAUAAAUUCAUAAACACGGCCAUCAAUUUCGAUCGAGCUCAUUGCUCCUACUUUAUGGAUCCACCGUCUUUUAUUAGUUUCCCAAUGAUCUUAACAUCUUCCCAUCUGUGCACUUCACCAAAUAUGUUUGCUAGAAGUACAUAAAGCCCAGAACCAUGCGGUUCCAACUCCAACAGCUGCUUCAGAAUUAGCUUUCCCAAAUCCACAUUUCCAUGGAUCCUAAAAGCACCAAGCAAAGCAUCCCAAGUGACAACAUCAGGCUUCAUAGGCAUUCCUCUUACCAGCCUCAUUGCUUCUUCUAAAAGUCCCACUCACCACAGCAGAUCAACCAUGCAAGCAUAGUGCUCAAUUUCAGGUGAUAUUCUGUAAAUAGACUUCAUUUUUUCAAAAUAACAUCUCCCGAAGUCAAGAAGACCACUUUGACUACAAGCAGAAAGCAGUGCGAUGAAGGUCUCAUCGGGCCAGAUUCCACCUGCUUGCAUAUGUUUGAAUAUCACGAUUGGUUCUAAUCCAUGACCGUGCAAUGCAAGGGCCUGGAUAAUGAUGUCCCAUGAUACGACAUUCUGUUCUGGUAUCUGAAAAAGAAUAUACAAGGCAAUUCCAACAGCACCGCAUUUUGCAUACAUGUCUAUCAGGGAAUUAUAAAGAGUUACACUGGCUGCAAUAUUGCAGAUGCAAAUGUAAUUAUGGGUUUUCCUUCCAAUAACCAAAUUGCCAAUUUGACUGCAAGCUGAAAGGACGUACCAAGGUAGCCUCAUCGGGCACCACACUGGAAUUAAGCAUUUUCUGGAAAAGAUCCAAAGGCACCCUGCACUGGCCUUCUCGGACAUAAUUUGAAAUCAUUGAAUUCCAAGAAACUACAUUUUUCUGUGGCAUCUGGUUGAAAAACUCCUCAGAAAAUUCAAUGAGCCCUUGUUUAGCAUAUGCUCUAACCAUUGACAUCCAGGAAACCACAUUUUUGUGAGUCAUUUGAUCAAAAAUCGUUCAUGCCAAGUGCAACUGCCCACACUUGGCAUACAUAUCCAAAAGAGCAUUUCUCAUAAUUUGAUUAACUUCAAUCCCACUAACCCCAAUAAAAAGAUAGAUAUAUCUUCCCAGUUCUAAAUCACAAGCUUGUGAACAAACAGAGAGUAAAGUAACCAAGGUGAACUUAUCAGGCUCAACCCCCAAUCUCCAUUCUCCCUAAACAAUAAAAAAGCUUCCUCCCAUGAACUCGUUCUAGCAUAUCCACUGAUCAUCGAAUUCCACAAAACCACACUCCUCUCAGACAUAUCAUCAAACACAUUCCGAGCGCAACUGAACAACCCACAAAAUCUGUAGAGAUUAAUAAGGGCAUUUUGCACGCAAACUUGAGACCCAGUUCCUAGCUUAAUACCCUAACUGUGGACAACCACGGCUUCCCAAUAUGCAGACUGCCCCACGCAAACGUUGAGCACAAGGGGCAGCGUGAACUCGUUCGGUGAGAGUCCUGAACCAACCAUAUGGCAGUGGAGUGAAAAAGCCUUAAAUGGGUCAUCACUAUUCGAGUAACCCCUUAUCAGACUAUUGUACAUAAACUUAUUUAGUUUAGGAUUUUUGUGGGACACGAGCUGGGCGUAAAGGGGAUUUCCGGAAUCAGAGACGGAGCAGAAGGAUAUGAGUUUCCCUGACGGUGACGUUUUCGUUUGUGAGGCUGAGGAUGAUUUGGGCGUGGAGCUGUUUGAGUUCUUUCAUGGAGGAGCACUGCUCUAGGAGAUGAUGCAGGGUUUGGUGUGUGGAGGUCUUGAAUUUGUGGGUGAAAUUGGUGGGAUUUGGAGGGAGAGUGGUUUGCAGAGAGUGAAAGAGGCGGGAAGCAACGGUCGGAUUUUUGGCGGUGAAUAACAUGGCCGUUGGGCUUUAGGUUUGGGGGUAAAUGUAACGGUUUUAUGAAUUAUAAAUACCAAGUAUUUUUUGUUCAGUUGAAAAUAUCAUGUUGCAACAACUGGCCCUUCACUUGUACGGAAGGUCUCGAAACUCACAUGAAUUAAAUAAUACUUCCCUAGUGAAUAUGAAUCCUUGACGAUGUGAAUUCUUAUUUGAAUGUAUGAUUCAGAAUGACAGUCUAAUAACAACACGUGUCGGAUAUAAAGAAAAUGUAGUCCACAAUCAUGCCGUUCAUAAUGCUAGUGUAAGUUCAACUAAACAAGAUGACUAUUAUGUACAGGUUCAGGCAAAUAUGGUUACAGAAGGUGUCACUUGCAUUUCUUAAGAGUUAAGGACCAAGCCCCGAAGACAACAUUCGACUUGCAUCUAUUAAGCAUAUAGCUAGCGUUCCUUCUAAGCUAGGAUCAAACUCGUCCUUUGAGUAUGAUUGGGCCUCGCAGUGGUAGAACCUAGUGAACCAUACGUACCACUUCCUAACCUUCUGUGGACUGGACCUUGCUUCUCGUAUGGUGAGGGGGACGACCAGCCAAAUUCACAUCAGAAAUCGACAACAUCAACACAAACAGUUUCAAACCUAAAUUUUACUAAUUACAAGUAAAUAAAAUGAGAACUAUUUCUUUUUCUUCAUAAAAUACAAUUCAACAGAAUAACCUUGUAGGUAUACUUUUCUUUAAGUUUCGUCUCAGAACGACCCUAUCUAUAUCUCCCAAAAAUAUCUGUAUAUGGAUGCGAUUGUUCUAACUCGGUGGAGCUCAAUUGUUGUAUAUGACAACAACCAGCAGGACCUUUACAAAGAAGCAAGAAGCCAGAGAUUGAACAGAGAGGAACCUAGUGAAAGAAACCAAGACAGGAAAGCCAUGGCAGCAGAUAACUGAUAUCUAGUACAUAACUUGGCGGGGCAGUAGGAUCCGUCGAGAUACAGUAGGAGAUUUGUGGUACUAGCGGUCGUGCAAGCUGCAGCGAGUGAGAGAUACGACAACGCCUGUGAUGAAACGAACAUAAUAUAGUCUUAACUUAAGUUGGGAAAAGGAAGAACAUGUUAAUGGGAUAAAUAAGUUUAUAGACAAAAACACAUACCAAGUCUCCUAAAAUAAUUAUUAUAAUUAUUCUUGGUUGAUGAUGCAAACAUCUAAAGAAGACAGAGUAGACAUCAACGAUCACCAGAGUCAUGCUCCACGGAACUACCAAACCCAUUACCGUCACCAAAUAGCUGCAACACCAACCAAGCAAUGGUAAGAGUUACUACUGUUACUAGAAGAGUUUCUGGUGGAUUACAUUCGUCUCCUUCAUUGUUGCACACUAGAAAAAACCGAGACAAAACAAAUCUGACAACGGCUAACAAACAAUUCAGAUAGCACCAUAUAAUCCCUUCAGUUUACAGGUUAGCACAUGAAAAAAACAAACAUUGUUAGCAAAGUGACUUGAAUUUGUUAGGUUUUAUAAGUUGAAAAGUUCUUAAUUACUAAAAUAUAUACCCCUACCCCAGAAGACUCUUUCAGAGAAGGCAAUAUUUUAUAGGGUUGAGAACACACGCCAUUAAGGACAAGUGCAGGGUGAGGCUAUACAUUAGAAGUACAUUGGAGAAAGGCAAGCCGCACAUACAGGUGAACAGGGCUAGACUUCUUUGGACAUAUCAUUAGAACAUAAGUUCUCAAAGACUAAGUCAAUGACUAGAGAAACAUUGACACGAACAGACGUGCAAAAUUAGCCUUGUGAGAAAAAAAAUAAAAAUUCAACUAAGAGCAGAUGAAACAACAUGAUUUCCGAUAUGGCAACUGGUACUCCUUUUUCGGAGCUUUAAUGUUUACACUGUAAUGUUUGGAGGCUGAAAGAUUUGGCUUCCAAUUCCCGAUUCGGGAGCUUUUUUUUUUGCAAUUCAGAUUCAUGUCAAACAGGCCAUAAAAUGGGUAAAUUCUAUCGAGCGGUUUUUUGAUGCUCUAUGAUGUUCGAAUUAGACUUCAAAGCUGCUAAAAACUAAAACUAUCACAAUCCCUGGCUUUGAUUCAAACAUAGAAAGUAAAACUUCCCAUCGACAUAGUUUCUAGUGAAGAUACCCGAAAUUCGAUGGUGAAUUACAGAGUCUUGAACAGUUCCUUCUAAACAAAAAGUUCAAUAUAUUUACUUGCUCAAUUAGGAGGAACUUAGAAACAAAAAACAUGUACUAAAAAUCUUCCAUCAAGUCCAAGUAUAUAAUAUUUUGCACGUAUAAAAUAGAGUUAAAUUUAAACCAGUACAAUCUCUAUACGAUCUUUUCACAAAUACAGUUUCCAGUUCUUGAGAAAACCAUAAGGCAAUAUCCAGCUCAAGAAAUCAAAACAGAAUUUCCAUCAAAUUCAAAAACAGAGACAUGGGUAUUGAAGAACAAAUCGAAAUCACAAAAGGGUCGGAUGAAAUUCAACUAAAACCUCCAAAAACUCCUAAGUCGAAGAAUUCGAAAGUACCAGAAGGCGGUGUAGCUGUAGAACUCGACGUCCAAGCACAUGAAGAGAAGAGAGGCAGUGGAGAAGAUGGUCUGCCCGAAUCGCAGAGCCAAGCUGGCACUGGUUCCCAACGACCCCGGCAGUUCAUCCAUGCUUGCAAUUGCAUGCAGCUGCAGCCGCAGCAAGAACUCCUCAUGGCAAACGAAAUUCAAGAACAAUUCUUAUCAGCCACAUGACCAAGUAAUUGUGAGAAAAAUGGAGUUCUAAAUAAUUGUGGGGAAAUACGGGGAGGACUUGCUGUGGAGGGAACAAUGGCAAUGGGAAUGUGAAUCGUUGUGGUGAAUUGUGAAGGAAAAGGAGUGUUCGCGGACAAAAGAACAGAAAAGUGAAAGGGACGUAAAGGGUACGCAGAUUUUGGUGGGUUUUUGGCUUUGGCUUUGGCAUCUCCUCCUUCAUGAGGGCAGAAAUGGUUUAAUGUUCUUCUCCGGCUGGUAGCGAUGUGUGGUGGUAAUAAAAUGCCAAACAUUUUAGGCCACACUUAACGGAUGUGACAUUUUUAACAAGUUGUCUACAUGUUUUGGAUGUUUAAAAAAAUUGAGAUCAAUUUCAAAUGAUAGUAAAAGGUUGGGAACUUUAGGGUUUGUUUGGUAUCCUAUUUGAAAAUUUUUAUAAUUUCUCAAAACAUUUCUUAAGAAUUUUUCUUGAAAACAAUUUUCUUUAAGACUCAAAAACUUGUUUGGUAUGUGAUUUAAAAUUUUUAAAUCUUACAACUAAAACUGGAUAAAAAUAUCCAUAAAAAGGAGGUCGAGAGAGAAAGAGGAGAGAUGAGGAAAGAAAGUAAGAGAUGAUUAGAGGAAAGAAAGUAAGAGAUGAUUGGAGGAAAGAGAAAAAAGUGAGAAGAUCGGAGGAGAUAGAGAGGAAGAGGAGUGAGAGAAAGAAUCGAGAGAAUGAAGAGAACGGAUUGGAGGAGAGACGAAAAAAGUUAAAAAAAAAAAAAGAGAAAGGGAAGAGAGAAAGAAGAAAAGAGAGAUAUAUUUGGAGUGAGAGGGGAGGAAGGAGAAAAAAGAAAUGAGUGAGUUUAAGUUUAAAAACUCUAAAAACUCUAAAAACUCACUUUUUAUGUUUUUAGAUAAUAAACUAUUUUUGAGUUAGUCUUGAGUUCAGUUUUUGAAAAUAAUCCUACCAAACAAGUUUUUAAGGCCUAAAACUUGAAAAUUGUUUUUGAGUUUAAAAAGUUGAAUUCAAGUAGAAUAUCAAACAUGCUCUUAAGUUCUUAAUCUUUUUUACAUUAUUAAGUUUAUUAUAAGCAAUAUUACUACCAUAUCCAUAUUAAAGGAGGGUACGACUCCGAACACUGUAAGUUAAGAAGAGGAUCUUAACCAUCAAGAAAUAUUUAUAUGGCACAUGUACACUAGCGCUACGCGCCAAUAGAAUAAGAACAUAAGUAAAUUUUUGUCUCUAUAUUCUUAUUUUGUUAGCACAAAAAACCAAUAACCGUACUCCCAACCAUGAGGGUGAUUCCAAAAAAUUAUUAAGUGGGUAAAAAUAAUAAGUUUCUUUUCCUCCUUUUCUUUUUCCUCAAUAAGGUUCUUUGAAUCAAAGUGUAUAAAAUAAGGGAAUCGGCCUUAAAUUUGCUAUUAUAUUAUAUGUCAUUGUUUUUCCUUUUCAUGAUUAAUUGCCGAGUGUAUUUUAAUACAUGUCGAACAAAAAUCUGUCUAUAAAAAGGAAACUGAUCGGGGCAGGUCCUCAACUGUAAAUGGACGUUCUGAUAUCGUAUAUCAUCAUGUUACUUGAAUUAAAACGAAUAAACUAAUAUAAACGUGAGAUGAGAUUCUACUUAAUCACUUUAAUUUGAAUUUUUACACUCAUAAUUUAGAUCAGUUUAAAGUGACAGAUUACUUUUGAAAACAAAUAAACAAACUAAUUGUUAUCAUAUUCAAAGCACCCAAAUAACAAUAAAACAUUGACUAAAAAAAAAAAAAUGAAUAACAAAGUAGUAUAUUACGAAACCCUACGUACUACUAGUUUUUUUCUUUGUUGUUUUUAAAGUUUGGAUAACAUUAAAGAGAUCAAAUUUUUGAAUUAAAUUUGUAAAGUAACUGAUAUGUCACAAAUAAAAAAUAAGCAUGUUAAUCGAUACUUAAUUAGUAAUUCAAUUAUCUAUAACCACAUUAUUUGAUUUACAAAUUUAACGUUACCCUUAGGGUAUGUUUGUUUGCCUUCACUAGCAUUCCUUGGACUGGACUAGACUAAAUAAUAGUCCAGUCUGGUGUUUGUUAUUUACACGGACAAGCGUUAAUGAGACUAAAGAGGACUCGCCCCGACUGAACGCCUCGCUAGCCGUUCUUAGCGAGAGCCCUCGAUUUCGAGCAGACUCCUAGUCCCGUCCUCCGCUGAUCCAUCCGUCUUCUUCUCCUUCGUACCUUUGCCAUCUCCCAUCUCUUUCACGACUUCGCCGUCUCAUCCGAGUUCGAGCAGGACGAGGAGGUUCUCAGCGACGACGGAGAGGCCUCUUUUGACCUCAAACUCUUCGUGGGUAACCUUCCCUUCAGCGUCGAUAGCGCUCAGCUUGCUAGUAUCUUUGAGAGCGUUGGAAAUGUCCAGAUGGUCAAGGUAAUUCCUUGUUUUCACUCGAAAUUUUGUAAAUUUUACUUGAAAUUUGGGUGAAAAGUGAAAUCGGUUGUUGCUGGUUUAGUGUUUUGUGGGUUAAAUUUGGAAGGUUUUUAGCAGGUGAUAUAUGAUAAGACGACCGCAAGAAGUAGAGGAUUUGGGUUUGUGGCUAUGUCAAGUGUUCAAGAAGUUGAAUCUGCUGCUCGCCAGCUAAACGACUACGUAAGUCUGACCAUUUGCUGAUAUUUUCUUAUAUAUGCGAAAGUUUGUGAUUUGCGAAUUGGUACUUUAUUUGUAAUCGUAUUUAUACGAACGGGAAUCUAUUUUGAGAGAAAAUGGAAAUUUUUUGACAUUUUCUGCCCUGCAACUUCCAUGGCUGCUUGAGCCAAGUAGGAAUAGAGAACACAGUAAGAAGUCAAGUGGUAACUUGAUUCCUGGAAAGCAAUAUGUCAGUGUAAGAACACAGGCUCUAGUGACCAUUCUGUCCUGGUUGGCGAGAAAUGGUUUUGCUCCUACCGACAAUGUGGUCGUGUCUCUGGCAAAAUCAAUAAUUGAACCACAUGUUACCAAAGAGGAAGACAUAGUGGGUUGCUCAUUUCUGUUGAAUAUGUUGGAUGCUGUGAGUGGGGUUGAAGUGAUAGAGGAGCAGCUUAGAACAAGGAAGGAUUACCAAGAAGUUUCUAGCAUCAUGAAUGUGGGGAUGACAUAUAGCUUGUUGUAUAGUUCAGCAUUUGAGUGUGAAGAUCCUACGCAAAGGAGGGAGCUGCUACUAAGGAAGUUCAAAGAAAAACACACAGGUAAUCGGCUACACUUAUUUACAAUUUGCUAUGCUAUCAUCUUAAAGCUCCAAGCAGUGGAAAUGUGAAAAAGAGUAAUAUUAUUGAUGCAUGUACAUUUUUACAAUGAUAAGGAGUUCAUGGUUUUGUAUGUUGUUUUAUUGGAUUCAGGUGAAAUAGGCAAAUUUGACAAGGUGCAGUCUACCUUUUGGAGGGAAUGGAAAUUAAAAUUAGAAGACCAAAAGCGUGUUGCAGAUCGUUGUACAACAUUCGAGAAAAUAAUCCCUGGUGUUGACACGGUACGCUUUUAGUCUUAGGACUUUGAUUAUAUUAAGAGUGUUGUGCGUCCCUUGAUUGAUUCAGUCAAGUUAGAGAAUAAGCACAUUUUGAAGGAUGUUUUAACAUUAGCUGAUGAAUACCACUUGAACCGUUCACAGGUAGGCAGCUUUGUAGGCUUACAUCUCUGAAUUCUAUAACAUAGAGAUGGCUUUUUCCCCCAUUAAGUGAUAGUGAUCUAUUGUUUCCUUGCAGAUCUUUUUGUGUUAUUUGAGUUCUGUCAUUGUUUCUGAGGUUUGGACCAAUGAUGAUAUUACUUGUGAAAUUUCGGAAUUUAAAGGUGAAAUAGUUGGCUAUGCUGUGGAAACCAUCAAAGCUGUUUCAUAUAUUGUAUACCCUGCAAUUGAUGGAUGCCAUAAGGUGCGGCUUGCUUACAUCUUUGGUCUGCUUUCGGUGAGAUCAGACUCAGCCAUCGUAGUAGAGUCAUAAAUGGCAGUUUUGAUGCAGCAAGUUGUUACAUGUGCAGGCACCAACUUGCUUGCUAGAGCAACAAAAGGCAUGUUAUUGAUUCAAUAUAUUUUAAUUGUUUGUAACUGUAUGUUCAUGUAAGGAGUCGACUCAGAGGAACUGUAGUGCAGGAGUACUAUCGUAUUCGUGUAGCCUAAACAAGCUUGUGUUUUAGUCUAGUCAGUAAAUUAGUUAGAAUAGCAAAAUUUUGUCUGCUCAUAACAUUUAAAUUUACAUUCCCUCAGCUAAAACUUUUUGCUUCACUUUUGACAAUCCUUUGCUCCAAACGGUGUGUAUUUUGCUCGAGGUAUAUUCAUGAUCUCUUCCUUUUGCAUAUUGUUAUUGGUUUUCUUCAAACUAGUUGGAGCAAGCAAUUUACGUGCUCAAAUCCAAAUGUAGCAAUGAUCAAGGCUCGGCUAUCCAUUUGCCAUUGCGCCUCACACAUCAUUGUGGUCUUGGGAUUGAAUGCAAUCAAACCAAAGUUGAAUAAUUAAGAAAAGCAUUCUAAAACCCGUCAAUUGUUAGGAAAACACGUUUGUUAUAUUGAUGUUUGGAGCAAUACUACUCUUGAAUCAUGUAUGUUUCUUUCGUUGGCAAGAAAUUUGGUUUUGUUUUUAUUUUUUAUUGAGUCAUACUCUUAUCUAAUAUUAUUAAUUUUGAUAAUAUCUUUAAAUAAAAAGAAAUUAAAUUAGAAUAAUAAUUUAGUCUCAGUCCGAGCAAACACCAAACUGGUUACAAUACUAUUUUCAUUAUCAUGCUUCUUAAUCCGACACUGCACCAAACGCUUCACUAAGUUAGUCCAGCUUAGUCUAGUCUAAGCCAGUCCAGCUUAGUCCCUGAACCUAGUCCAGUCCGAGAUAGUCCGGUGCAACAAACGCACCCUUAAAGUUUAUAUGGAUUUAGCUUUGUCAACAAGUAUAGAUGAAAACUGCCUAUUGACAAAUUAAUAUUUAAUUAAAUGCGCGUUGCUUUUCGUUUAAACUAUCCAAUAUACAAUAAUUUCCCAAAUGUCAUGUUCAAUGGUCUCUUUCACAGUGGGACCUCGAAUUCAUGCAACGCGGCAUGAGAAAUAUUUCAAUGUGUGCAAAACAGAGACACAUACGUUAGAUGACACUGUAUAAGUUUAUGGACAUUUAGAAAAAAUUAUCUUUAAUUAUAUGAUAACAUAUGACAUACUAUCUUUUGUUCCGAACACAUUAAAAAAUCUUUCAUGCAAUCAAGGAUUUAAAUAUUAUUUGAUAUAUGAAUAAUAUAAUUACUUUCAAGUCUUGCCACACAAAAGCACACAAAGUAUCAUCACGCAUUAAAAAAAAGUUUGACAAUUUUGAAGAGAAUAAUAGCAUACAGUAACUCUAGUAUAGUUUGGAUCAAUCAUACGCCCCUCGGACCCAAUCCAAUUUGUGUGGCUCACCACCCACACAAAAGAAAAGGAUAUGAGACUAUAGUUGAGAGAUCAUGGACAGGAUGAACAAAAUUUGAAUGGCCAUGUGCUUUGUUCCACUACCAAAUGACAACCCACUGACAUAUUUAGGUUUGUUGUGAAAAUUAUUAAAAAUUGUUGAGAAAUUCAUAUACAAAUAGAAGAGAGAAUUGAGAAGAAGAAAAGAGUUGAAUUUCAUACUCAAUUCUAGUGUGUAAGAAUGAUACAAACGCUUUUUUAUAAGAGGUUUUUCAUCCAAUAGAAAAUUGUGGCAAAUUAUUUAUUUUACAGUCUACGAAUGAAUAGUGACUUUCCUGUUAAUGAACAGUAAAUCAUCCAAUUAUUCUUCCCAUGAGGUUUUUGUCUUUUUAUUUUUGAAUUUGGGACCUAUAUGGGCCAUCCAACCUUCACAACACGCCUCUUUUGAUGACCAUAUACCAAUGUGGAUUGCCUCAUUAAAAUCUUACUUGAAAAAACCCGGUGGAAAACAAUCAUAGCAAAAGAAAAAGAGAACAACUUUUUUUGGAUCAUUGAUAUUGAAUGCAUUUUUGUUGCCUCAUUAAAGUCUUGCUAGGAAAAAUCCUAGACGAAAGAAGAAGAGUACAACAAGCACGUGUCUUGGAUGCUCUCCCUGAUGAGUAUUUCCUCCUGAUUCAUGCAUUCUUCAAUUUGGCUAAUUACUAAGUCGACGUAAUCCGAUACCAUCAUCAACUUCUGAAAUGUAUAUUUCAGCAGAGAUUUGAUGAAUCGGUACACCACGUUAUCGUUGGAACGGAUUUGUCUUACUUCAAUAACUUUGUUCUUCUGAGCUCAUGUGUAAAGAAAAACUAUGGAGAUAUGAGUUCAAUCUUAUCGUCCUUUGAUGAAUCCUUGCUUCACUUGAGCAAUACAUGUAUUAUCUUCAUUAAUGAUAGUUGGAGCAUUUGUUUGUUUAAGAUAGACUACAUGAGUUUGGGUUGUGAUGGAUCACUAAUAUUAACCAAGAACAUUCACAACUAGCUUCAUGAAGAGCAAGUAUUCUGAAUGAUUAGAAGAUGUAGCAACUUGUGUUUGCUUCGGUUUGAGAACCAUGAGAUUGCUAUAUUUUCAUAAGUGAACACAUAUCUAGUUUCUGAAAGGGCUUUAUGCAAAUCAAAGAGAAAAUCAACAUCUGCAUAUCCAACAAGAUUUCAGCUAUCUGUGGGUUUCUCGAAAUAGAGUAGGCUCAUGUCUAUAGUCCCACAUAGCAUAUUUGAUUCUCUAUCAAUGUCGAAUUGUUGGAGCAUAGUUAUAUAUGCUACUAACAAAUUGACUAAAAGCUAUACAUUGUGUAAAGUAUAAUAAAACACAUAUUUCACUAAAAUAUGGUACUUCUGAACCAAGUAUCAAUUCAUCAUUUCCCUCACGAUGAUGAAUGAUCUUUCUUAGCAUCUAAAUAUUGGUUAACCCUUUGGGUGUUCAACUUAUAAUCUUCAAUCCACAUGGUUCUUUAAUACCAUAGUACUAUUGGUGGAUAAAUAUCGUGUUGGCAUAUUGUUCGAUCUACAACUAGAGACAAUAUGUCCUCAACACUUUAUAAUCUUUCUAGACUCUUUAGGAGUUCCAAUCUAAUAUCAUUAACUCUUGUAAAAGAUUUAAUAUGUUGCAACAAUAUCAUAAUGAUAGUAGGGGUGGGCAAACGGGUACAGGAACCGCGGUUCGGGGCAAGUAUGGGAUGGGUCCAAAAAUUAUAAAUACAAAAUGGGAUGGGUACAUGUAAAUAACGGGGCGGGCCGGUUCUAGAAAUUGGAAAAAAAGGGCCCUCGGCCCGAACCAUUGAUUUCCUACGUUGAUUUCCUACCGUUGAUUUCACCCUCUCUCUCUCUUAUUCUUGUCCGGGACUCCCAAGACUCCAUUCUAUUCUCAGACCCAAUUCACUCAACUCUCCCCUCUCUAGAUCUCUCCUCCUUGAAUCUCAUUUCCUCUCUCGCCGCCACCAUCGUCAUCAGACCUCUUUCUCUCAUCCUGAUUCGCUCUUGUCUUCCUCACUCCGUCCGCUACCAACAUCAUCAGGCCUCGAUCUCUGGCGACGCUUUGUUCGGAACUGAUUUCUGGUGACGUUUUGUGGUGCGCCGACGACAGGGUCAUCGAUGAGUUCAUGAUGGAACAGCCAAUCCCAUCGUACCUGUUCGCGUUCGCUGUCGACAAAGGGUUUGGGUGGUUCUUUCCGCUGGUGGCUCUGAAAAUGCUGAGGUACAUGAGCGCUACAUCAAUUAUCAUACACGACUGUGACGAGGUCUUCAACUAUUGGGAGCCUCUCCAUUUCCUUCUCUACAAAUCUGUUUUUCAAACUUGGGAAUACAAGUUCCCUUUUCAAUUCUCUUUCUUUUUCCUCUCUGAAAAAUUGAAACUUUGUUCUUUUUUUAGGUGUUUGUUUCUGGGUUUUGAUUGUUUGUUAUUUUCUGGGUUUUUUUUUUAUUUUGCUUGUUAUGAAAUUAUUUGUCUUUUUGGUUAUUUGAAGUUUAUUUUAUAUUAAAGAUGUUAAUAUAAUGCUAUGUUUGGUUAUAAUUUGUAGAGAACUAUUAAGCUCUGGAUUUAAUUUAUUGGGGAAGUUGGUUGUCGUUGAAAAGUUGAGUGCUUGUUAACGUACAAGAUUUUGUAGAGCAUUGCAGCUCAUGAACUAAUUGCAGCCUUCAGAUGAAACGAUGUGAUUUACUUCGUUACGGUAAUUUCCAAAAAAAAAAAACACACACACACACACACACAGAGGAUCCGUGUACCUGGCCCAUUUGAAAUAGGUUGGGUUAGGUCCAGUUCCAGUGAUCAGAUUUGCAAUACUUGGCCCAGCCCGUCUCGUUUCCUUUUUAAGCGAGUCUGGUUUGGUCCAUCCAAAUUUGGGUCGGGCCCAGCCCGUGCCCACCCCUAAAUUAUAGCACUCAUUAAGGCACUUUAUAUUAUCCAUGUUAUUGCUUUUGGAGAUAUGUUUCAAGUAUUUCAUAAGUUUUGUAUAAUAUAUAAUUCUCUAUUCAUACGAAAUGAACAUGUUUCACACUGGAAAAUCAUGUUUGUAGAAGUAUAUCACAAUUUCAGGUUUCAACUAAGAACCUUGUGUUAUAUCAUGUAAGUGUAUUUAAAUGGAUUACAAAUGCUUAUGUGUAACCUUUUGGGUUUGCUGAUGCACAAAACCUGAAGGGUUUUGGAACAACGUAAAUCCGACCGUGAAUCUGCAAGAAAGUAAAGAACACAAGAUGUAUCGUGGUUCACCCCCAAUGUUUGGGCUACGUCCACACUGAUGUUGAUAUUGUUUCACUCUGAAUGAUGAAUAUACAAGGAGCCUAGAGGCAGUGUGCUCUUUAGCCUAUUUUCUGUGUGCUCUCUUCCUAUGGCCUAAAACUUGGUUUCAAUCUUGGCCCUCCCUUAAUGAGGAGAGUGAAGAGUCCUUUUAUAGAAUAAGGGCUCCUCACUUAUUACAUAUUUUCCCCUUCAUUUAUGACAUAAUUACAUUUAAGUCCCCCGAGUAUUUAUACAAGGUCUAAAUACGGAGGCCCUAAGUAUGAUACAAAUAGUAGUCCCCCAAGUCUUCAGUCAAGAGAGUCUUUUGGCUGGAGACUUGAAAUUCAGUCUAUGUGUGGGCCGAAGUAACUAGAUGUCGUCUAGAACUGAUACUCGAUAUGAGGCGGUGCCCAAUGUGCAAUGAUGCUCAACUAGAAGUAGCACAUGUUGCGAGGCUGCUUGGCUGCUUGGCUUAUGUUGCAUUGUUUGGCUCGGCUUAUGGAGUUGAAGGUGAGGGAGUCCCUUUUAUAGAAUAAGGGCUCGCUCCUCAAUACAUAAGUGAUGGGUUAGGAGCAAGGUCUUAAAUGCCGAUAAUAUCGGCGAAAUAUCGCCAAUAUUAUCCGUUUUUCACGUUACCGAUAUUUUAAUAUGUAUCUAAUUAGUUUUCGUCAAAAUAUCACGAUAUUAUUGAUAAUAUGGAUAAUAUCAUGAUAUUAUCGAUAAUAUCGCGAUAUUAUCAAUAUUAUCGAUAAUAUCGCUCUCUCCGUCGUCGGAACGGCAGCCGAGCUCCGUCGUCGCAGCUGCCAAGAUCUGCGCCUCUCUCUGCCAAGAUCUGCGCCUCUCACAGGUGGUGAUGGUGCUCGUCGGAGUGUGCGCCACUGGGGUGGAGGUCACGGUGGGGUGGGUGUGGUGUGUCUCCCUUCCGCUCGCUCGCUCCAUGUCUGUUCUUUCUAUGGUGGUGAACGAAGGGCAGUGCAGCAGAUCAAACUAAUUUGAGCUUCACACUAACACGGAGAGAGAGAUCCGAAACUUACCUAACCGGAAAAUCAAAGAAGACUCGCCGGAAAGUUAUAGGCUCUGCCAUUCUCGUAGAGGCGGGAGAGAGAAGAUUGAUGAUGUGUUCCUCGAUCUGCUCGAGUCGAGCAGAUGGUGCUGCUGCGUGUGUGUGUGUGGUCACGGCAAGAGAGAGAGAGAGGUAAGAGGGUUUCGAGAGAGAGACAGUGCAGAGAAGAGAGAGAGAUAGUCGAAGUGAGUGAGAAGGAAAUGGGGUCUCGGGGUAGGGGAGAGACCCACGUAGUGGGUUCUUUGUAUUUUAAAAAGUUGUGGUCAUGUUUUAAUUAUGAAAACCCACGUAGUGGGUUCUUUAUAUUUUAAAAAGUUGUCCAAGUUUGAGAUCCACCCACACUACGUGGGUGUUUUAUAAUUUUAAAAGUUUGAGAUAUAUUUUAUAUAUAUAUAAAGGUUAUAUAAAUAUAAAUUAUGAAUUAUUUAGUUGAAAGGCAGGAGAAAACAAAAGCAAAAAAGGAAAAGGAAAAGAAAAUAAGAAAGAAAAAAAACACCAAGGGGAUUCAAAUCCCUCCCUUUGUCAACCAUACACCUAGACCUUAUCCAACUCGCUAUAGAUGUGUUUGUAAUUACAUAUUCAGCCUGUAAUAUUUAUAUGGUUGUUAAGAUAUCUGCAAGGCUUGCAAGCUAAUAUUUAUUAUCUAGGAAAAUUUUCUAUAUUUAAAAAAACACCAAGGGGAUUCGAACACCUCCCAUUUUACUCCUUCAACACCUUGACCACCAUAUCACUUAUGUUUUUGUGAAAAUAUGCUAAAAUACACUUACUCUACACAUAGAGAUGACGAAGAUAGUGAAAAUUUUGAACCUCAUAGGAACUCUAUGUGGUACUAAGUCACUCAUGUAUCUUACCAUGCAAAGUAUAAAGUGUAAAAUAUUGUACUAAUUCAUUAUAUAUAAAUGAUUAUGGUGUGUUUAAACUUCUUUCAUUAAUUACUACAUAUUUUCUACACUCACAAUGUUUGCCAGCUCGCUAUAUAAUCAACUUAAAUCAGUUAAAUCCAUCAUGCAAUGCAUUUCCUUCCAAUUUUUUGUGAUAAACUAAUAGAUAAUUGACUAAAUAAACAUCCUGCAAAGUUUCAAUAAAAAUUUCCAAGUUUUUCUUACAAUUUCCGUGGUUUCCAUACUAUUUUUAUCGAUAUCGAUAAUAUCCCGAUAUUUUCAUCGAUAUUUCCGUGUUUUUGGACUACCGAUAUUUCCGAUAUCAUCGAUAUUUAAUACCUUGGUUAGGAGUGAUGCUUGCGGCGAGGCGGUUGCUCAGCUGGCGGCGAUACUCUCUAAUGGAGGUGAGGAGGUCCCUUUUAUAAAAUAAGGGUUCACUCCUCAAUACAUAAGUGAGGGGUUAAGAGUCUCUCUCUAAUGAAGGUGAGGGAGUCUCUUUUAUAAAAUAAGGGUUCGCUCCUCAAUACAUGAAUAAUGAGUGCUCUCUAAUGAAAGUGAGGGAGUCCCUUUUAUAGAAUAAAGGUUCGCUUCUCAGUACAUAAAUAAUGGGCUAAGUCCCCCAAGUAUUUUUCAUGAGGCCCAGUUGUGGAAGCCCAAUAUAUGGUACAUAGUGCAGUACCCCAAGUCUUCAGUCAAUAGAGGCUGUUGGCUGGAGAUUUCAAAUUCAAUCCAUGUACGGGCCGAAGCGGCAGUUGUUCGGAGACGGUCUUUGUAUACCAUGCACUGAAGCUUUGUAGGUGAAGCUUUUAAAGUGAAGCUUUGAAGCUGGAGCUCUGUAACUGAAGCUUUCGAAGUUGAUUGACAUGAGUGAUGCUCAUGGAUGUUGACAUGAGUGAUGCUCAUGGAUGUUGACAUGAGUGAUGCUUAUGAAUGUUCACAUGACUGAUGGUCAUGAAUGUUUAUGUAUGAUUGACAUGACUGAUGGUCAUGAAUGUUUAUGUAUGAUUGACAUGAGUGAUGCUCAUGAAUGUUUAUGUAUGAUUGACAUGAGUGAUGCUCAUGAAUGUUUAGGUAUGACUGAGUGAUGCUCAUGUAUAAUUUUGGAGUACUGGACGUACUUUUGAUCACCUAAUGGGUGAUAAUAGCGGUAGGUUGCCGAAUAAUUUUGGAGUACUGGACGUACUUUUGAUCACUAGACGUACUUUUGAUCACCUGGUUGGUGAUAAUAGCGGCAGGGUGCUGAAUAAUUUUGGAGUACUAGACGGACUUUUGAUCACCUAGUGGUGAUAAUAGCGGCAGCCUGCCAAAUAAAUUUGGAGUACUAGACGUACUUUUGAUCACCUAGUUGGUGAUAAUAGCGGCAAGGUGCCGAAUAAUUUUGGAGUACUAGACGUACUUUUGAUCACCUAGUGGGUGAUAAUAGCGGCAGGUUGCUGAAUAAUUUUGGAAUGCCGGACGUACUUUUGAUCACCUGGUUGGUAAUGAUUGCGGCAGGCUGCCGAAUAAUUUUUUCUAGUACUGGACGUACUUUUGAUCACAUGGCUGGUGAUAAUAGAGGGCCUGGCUCUUUUUGGGCAUAUGGGUCUUCGCCCUCCACAUAACAUUCCAGCCCAUUAUUUUGGGCUUGCCGUUUUUUUUUAUUACCCUCUGAUGGGGUUAUACAGAUGUCUCCGAAAGAUAAGAAAAAUAAAUCACAUCAUUCAAAAAUAAAUAUGACCCUCUGCUCAAUGGGUCACGCCCAUAAUUCCCUUUUCUACAUGCCAUCACCACCGUAAUUAUGUCUGCUUCUUUUUAUCUUCUUUUGCUUUCUGCUUUUGCUUUAUGCUUUUGCUUUCUGUUUUUCUUUCUGCUUUCUGCUUGGGACAUGUUGCUUGAUGACAUGAUUAAGGGCAAUAUUCCUUUCUCUAAAGUGACAGCUGCUUGGACAGCCUUUUCGACACCACCCACUUGCUUUUCUUGAUCUCUUCGCUUCUUCUCUGUUUUUCUGCUGAGAAUCACUGGGUUGAGAUUCCAAGUUCGAGGGAUCCGAGUCGGGAGCCGACUGUGAUCUUCAAUAACUUCAUUGGCAUGCACGAGAGCGAACAAGAAUUCUCCAUGGCUGUGCCUAUCCAAGCUUCUGCACCACAGCAAAUGGUCCUCUAACAACCUUAACAAUCAUAACAAAAUACCUGAUGGGUCCUCUCGCCUACCUGUGUCGUUUAGAGCCAUGAACACAGCUUGCGGGGGCUUGGCGUGGAGGAAGAUAGGCGUAUAUUUGGUGACGUUCAAAGCGACGCUGAGUUAGCACUGCUCUGUGAAACUUAAACCGCUGCAUGCUGCUUUGAUCUUGGUCUUUGCCGGUGCGCAGAUUUUCAACCAGCUCUCUAUGAAGUCACUAGCAGUGGACCCAUCAUUGGGCAAAUAUGUAGUUAGAAUUUCGAGGGCCCACCAGUCAACGGUGAACUCAUGGCCCUCCCCGCGUACCACCUCGGGGGACACGUACUCUUCCAUUCCGACAAACGAGUUCGCGCGUUUGUCGUCCGAGAAACUCAGCUUCCGUCGACUCAUCGGGCUGACUUGGCCUUCUUCAACCCCUUCCUGCUACCGCCGUUCUUGUGAUUGUCGUUUAUAAUCGUGAUCCAACAUGUCAAGUUCCGCUGGUGUUUGCGAUGAAUCUUUGGGAUGUCGUUUUCCAGAAUGGAGUCGUUGGGCUUAGCGGUCAUGUGCUUAAGGCUAAUCGAGAGGUCGAAGUCUGUGAAUGUCACGUGGCCGGAUUACUGGAUGAGGACUGUAGUUCACAUCAAUGGCAUUUCUCCGCUCAGAAUCUCCAACAUGAGUGUUGGAUCUUGAUGUGCUUUUAGCGGUGGCGGUGGUUUUGGAUGAUGAGGUUUGGGAAUUGACGACAGAGAUGGCUGAGUUAGCUCGGUAAGAAAGGUACCCCAUAAGAGGAAAAUCGAGAUUUCAACUUUGUGUGUUCUCAGAACGCGGUUCAGAACCGUUAUGGGAUGGACCAAAAAGUCUUUUUCUUUUGAAAUACAGAGAGAGAGAUCUGGUUUUGAUGCAUGCUGAGAGAUCUUGAUCUUCAGAAAAGGAAAAAGAAUGAAGACUUUAAAAAAGAAAAAAGAGAAUCUUUGGGGCUCUUUUAUGAGCAGAGACCGAGAGAGAGAAAGAGAGAGGAGAUGACAUGGUGGCUUUGUGUUUGUGGGGGUUUUCUGGAAAAGCCCAAGGAGGUUUCGAGUUUCUGUAGAUUCAAGGUGGAGUGUGGUGAGGUCUCACGGUGGUGAGAUGAAAAAAUGAAAGAGAACCGAUAUAGCUUUUUGUGUCGAUUCCCACAGACGGCGCCAAAUGUUGAUGCACAAAACCGGAGGGUUCUUGGAACAACGUAAAUCCGACCGUGAAUCUGUAAAAAAGUAAAGAACACAAGAUGCAUCGUGGUUCACCCCAAUGUUUGGGUUACGUCCACACUGAUGUUGAUAUUGUUUCACUUUGAAUGAUGAAUAUACAAGGAGACUAAAGGCAGUGUGCUCUCUUCCCAUGGCCCAAGACUUGGCCUCAAUCUUGGCCCUCCCUUAAUGAGGAGAAUGAUGGGUCCUUUUAUAGAAUAAGGGCUUCUUACUUAUUACAUAUUUGCCCCUUCAUUUAUUACAUAAUUACAUUUGAGUCCCCGAGUAUUUAUACGAGGUCUAAAUACGGAGGCCUUAAGUAUGGUACAAACAGGGUUCAACAUCCUUUGGCUAUUUGUACUAUAUAUGGGUCCAUGUUUUCACAUUCUUACUUAAUUGUAAUGGAAUUGGCUCUCCAUUUUGCCAAUAAUGUUUCUUUUCGUUGACAAACAAAAGAACGCGACUCAAUAUAUAGUAGCUACUGUAAAACCAAAUUUUUCAUUGAUUAUCAUCAAUUUGUGAUCUAAUAAUUCUCAUGUGCAUGCACAUGCAUAGUUUCAAAGUUUUUCAUUUCUUUGGAUAUCUAUUGCCUCUUCAGAGGCAUUACACUAUUUCUUCUAUAGUUUAGAGAAUGCGGAUCAUAACCCCUUUUUAACUGUUAUAGAGCUUGAAUUUUUAAUCUCCACUUCUGGAGUUUGAGUUACUAGAACCUAUACAUCUAUCAUGCUUCAAGCAUGAAACAUACUAAAAAUUAUAUAGAAAUAGACGAAAGCAAGGAUGGAGCUAAUGUAGGCCUAGGGGCGGAUGCCCCCACUCAUUUAAAAAAAUGUAUAAUUGCGUUCCAAUUCUCAAUAAUCAGCCCUAAAUAAACUACAAUUAAAAAAAUUGGUAGGCAACUAAACUAGUCUACCACUUUGGAUCCCAAAUGCCCUACCUGAUGACAAUUUAAUUAACAAUUAAUUUAAUUGUGCCUCCCCGUUUUUGUAACCCUAGGUAUUUAAUCCACACAAAACUCAUCCCACCACGUACGGCAAAGCAAUUCCAGUCCUUAACUUCUCCAGAUUUUUCCUCCCCUUUCAUUCAACCAAAACUCAAUUGAAUUUGGAGUGUUAUAGACAGUUGGAGUUCAAGUAAUCAAUUAUCAAAAUUCAACACAAGAAUUUUACUCCACAAGGUAUUUUAUACGACUUUACUUCAUUAAUUUGUUUUUGGCAUUUCAAUUUAGAAUUUAGCUUUCUAAUUUAGAGAUCAAUAGAUGAAUGAUAACAUGAUUAUGUUUAUAUAAAGAGAUAUUUAAUGGUAUUGGUAAUGAUAUUGUUAUGCAACACUUUCAAAACAUGAAAACAAUUCAAGGAAUAAUGUAAUAUGUGUUGCGAGUUAUAUAUUAGUUAAAAUAUAAAUAGUAGUUUAUUGUCCCACAUUGGUGAAGUACAUAUGUAAUACCAAUUGUAACUCCUAUACUCCACUUUGGAGAUUAAUGAAUAUAUAAGAAAUUCCCAAAUAUUGUCAUAUAUAUUUUUGGUAUUUACCAUAUUUAGUUUAAUAUGGCAUCAGAGCAGUUCGCUCUUGGUGACCUGUGUGCUUUAAUUUUGUGCCCACAUUUUUUGUGAUUUCCUUCGUGAAAAAAAAAAAAAAAAGUGAAUAAUGGCGCGCUACAAUACAGAGCGUGAACAGUGGUCUGCUUUGUGAACAGUGGUCCUUUACAAUGCCGUAAACAGUGAUUGCUACAGUGCCGUGAAUAGUGCUCUGCUACAGUAUCUGGUAAAUUAUUUUCAUUCCGCUGCGUAUCUUUUGUGCCUUUAUUGUUCAUGAUUUUUGUUCAAUGGCUCAAUAUAAUCAUAGUGUUAUUAUGCAUCUUGGUGGAACAAAUAAAUGGAUAAUAGAUACUAAGACCACUGAUCAUGUGACUAGUGACCCUAGAGUGUUUGAUGAGUUAUGUGACUAUGUUCGUGAUCCGUAUAUUACUAGUGCAAAUGGAGCAAAUUCCCCUGUGAAGGGUGAAGGCACUAUCUCUCUUACUCUAACCUUAUCACUGGUCUGUGUUUUAUUUGUUCCUGAUGUUAAGUGCAAUCUUUUGUCGGUAGGAAAACUUCUUGAUACCUUAUAUUGUUCUGCUCACUUUUACCCUACGUAUUUUUAUUUUCAAGAUAUUCAAACUCAGAAGAUAAUUGGUCAUGGUAAAAGAAUAGGGGGUUUGUACAUCUUAACUAUAGAGGAUACUGUUGUUUCUGGUUCAAAUAAUCAUCAAGUUUUAAGUGCUAAAGUGGAUGACAGACAUCAAAUUUGGUUGUGGCAUCGAUAAUUAGGACAUCCAUCAUUAAGUUAUAUGAAACAUCUAUUUCUUUCUUUGUUUCACACUUGUAGUGAUUCAGAAUUCAAGUGUGAAACAUGUGUCAUGGCUAAGAGUCAUCGUGCUUCAUUUCCUGUAAGUGAUUCUAAAGCUACUUUGCCAUUUGAUUUGAUACAUUCUGAUGUGUGGGGUCCGGCGAAAGUUACUUCUAAUGGAUUCCGUUGGUUUGUUACUUUUAUUGAUGAUUGUACUCGGUUAACUUGGGUGUUCUUGAUGAAGAAUAAGAGUGAUGUUCCGUUACUUCUUCAAGAAUUUUGUACAAUGGUGUCUACUCAGUGUCAGACCAAAGUUAAGGUCUUCAGGUCUGAUAACGGAGGAGAAUAUGUGAAUCACACUUGGCAUGUUUUUUUCGUGAUCAUGGUAUUAUUCACCAAACGACUACUCCGUUUACACCCCAACAAAAUGGUGUGUCCGAACGGAAGAAUCGUCAAAUAAUAGAGGUUGCUCGCUUCUUGAUGUUGGAUAAAUGUGUUCCUAAUCAUUUGUGGGGUCAUGCUGUUUUGGCUGCUGUGUAUUUGAUCAAUCAUGUUCCAAGUAGGGUUCUUGAGUUUCAGACACCGUUCGAUAUGCUACAAAAACAUGUUUCUCUUGUUUCUGUAUCAAAGCUUCCUCCGAAAGUGUUUAAGUGUAUUGCGUAUGUGCAUGUCUACUCUCAUCAGCGGAGUAAACUUGAUGCAUGUGUUCUCCGGUGUGUCUUUAUUGGAUAUGCUAACAAUCAAAAAGGCUAUAAGUGUUAUCAUCCUCCGACUCAAAAAACUUAUAUUACCAUGGAUGUCACCUUCCAUAAGGAAGUUUCAUAUUUUGUGAAGCCUUUUUCCACCUAUCCAUUUCAGUGGGAGAGGGGGAGUGAAGUGCAGAUUCGAAGAGAUGGUAUGGAUGAUGUGUUACAUGCAGAGUUGGGAACAUAACCUAUUAUGUUGCGUGAUACUGAUCAGUCGGCUACAGAUAGUGAUCGGUCACCUGUUAUUCCUGGAACUAUUUCUACUAACGACAAAUCAGAUGUGCCCAGCGAGUUGCCUAUUAGUAUGUCUGACGAAUUACCUUCUGAUGAUCGGUUGCAUGCUGCUGAUAUGUCUGACGAAUUACCUUCUGAUGAUCGGUUGCCUGCUGCUGAUAUGUCUAACGAGUUGCCUAAUGAUGGUUCAUUCAGUGAUGAUUCUUCUAACAGUUUGGUACAAGAUGGUGGCAUACAUGAGGUAAAUUCUGACGAUUCUUCUACUUAUCAGUUGCCUCCACGAGCUAAUCGUGAAAAACCUAAAGUACAAUAUGAGCCUGAUAUGCAUGCCAAAGCCAAAUAUCCUAUCAAUAAUUAUAUGGCUACUCAUCGUUUGUCCAAACCAUAUGCAUCUUACAUAUGUCAGCUAUCUAGUGUAUCAAUUCCAACAAAAUUGCAAGAUACUUUGUCUGACCCUAAGUGGGUUAAUGCCAUGGAAGUUGAGAUGGAAGCUUUGGAAAAGAAUUCUACUUGGGAUUUGGUUGCUUUACCAAACGGGAAAAAAGCCAUUGGAUGUAGAUGGGUGUUUAUUACUAAGCACAAAGCAGAUAGUUCUAUUGACCGGUAUAAAGCCAGAUUAGUUGGGGUUAUACUCAAACCUAUGGGGUGGACUAUCAGGAGACUUUUGCUCCUGUUGCCAAACUUAAUAAUGUGCGUGUUCUUCUGUCCUUAGCAGUAAACCAGGAUUGGCUUCUGUUGCAGUUUGAUGUUAAGAAUGCUUUCCUUUAUGGUGAUCUUAAAGAUGAAGUGUAUAUGGAUUUUCCACCUGGUAUUGGAACAUCUCUUGGAAAAUGUGUUGUAUGCAGGUUACGAAAGGCCUUGUAUGGUUUGAAACAAUCUCCUAUAGCAUGGUUUGGGAGGUUUACAAGUUCAAUGAAGAAGUUUGGAUAUAUCCAGAGUCAUUCAGAUCCUACUUUGUUUCUAAAGCGACAAAAUGGUAAGCUAACUGCAUUGAUUAUUUAUGUUGAUGACAUGAUAGUGACUGGUGAUAAUCAGAAGGAGAUACAACGCCUUCAAAAGUACCUAGCUAUUGAGUUUGAGAUGAAAAAAUUGGGUGAACUGAAGUAUUUUCUUGGAAUCGAGGUUACACGAUCCAAGCAUGGUAUUUUUCUGUCUCAACGGAAAUAUGUUCUUGAUUUAUUAGCUGAAACAAGUAUGUUAGAUUGCAAACCUGUUGAUACUCCGAUUGAGCAGAAUCAUCGUCUGGGCUUAUUUCUAGAUCAAGUUCCUACUCAUAAGGAACGGUAUAAGAGGCUUGUAGGGAGAUUAAUUUAUUUGUCUCACACUCGCCCUGACAUUGCUUAUGUAGUUAGUGUGGUAACUUAGUUUAUGCACUCACCUAGUGAAGCUUAUAUGGAUGCAGUAACCCGUAUUUUGAGAUACUUGAAAAUGGCUCUUGUCAGAGGCCUGGUUUUUUUCAAGAAUGGUCAUUUGAAUGUCGAAGGGUAUACAGAUGCAGAUUGGGCAGGUUCUAUCACUGAUCGGCGAUCUACAUCUGGAUACUUUACGUUUGUGGGUGGCAAUUUAGUUACUUGGAGAAGCAAGAAACAAAAAGUGGUGGCUAGGUCAAGUGCAGAAGCUGAGUUUCGUGGUAUGUCUCAUGGUGUAUGUGAGUUGUUGUGGUUGAAAAAAAUUGUUGAGAGAUCUUGGGUUUAAUAGUGUGUUUUCCAACUCGCUUGACAAGUUGGGCAUGCGUGACAUCUUUGCACCAACUUGAGGGGGAGUGUUGCAAGUUAUAUAUUAGUUAAAGUGUAAAUAGUAGUUUAUUAUCCCACAUUGGUGAAGUACAUAUGUAAUACCAAUUGUAACUCCUAUAUAUACUCCACUUUGAAGAUUAAUGAAUAUAUAAGAAAUUCCCAAAUAUUGUCAUAUAUAUUUUUGGUAUUUACCAUGUUUAGUUUAAUAUUGGUAUUUACCAUGUUUAGCUUAAUAAUAUGUUGUAUGAAAAACUUUAUAAAUUAAUGUAUUAGUGUUUUGUUCAAUAAAUUCUUGAGAUUUUUAAUUGUGACUUUAUUGUUUGAGGAUGCUCCCGCUCAUAUAAAUCUCUAACUUCAUCCUUGAAAGAGAGAAUUGAGAAGUAGAAAAGAGUUGAAUUUCAAAAUCAAUUGUGGUGUAUAAGAAUGGUACAAACGCUUCUUUAUAAGAAGUUUGCCAGAAACUGUAGCAAACUAUUUAUUUUACAGUCUUCAAAAUGAAUAUUGACUUUCCUAUGGAUGAACAGUGAGUAAUCCAAUUUUUAUUCCGAUGAAGAAUGAGAUUUUUGUCUUCUUUAAAUUUAGGACAUGUACGGGGCCAUCCAACCUUUACACCAAGUCACCUUUUUACGUCACUCUCAAAUAUUGUAGCGUUACUUUUUUAUUGCAAACUAUCAUCUGAUACAUUUACCUAAAAAAAACAGUUUUUAAGUAUGUCAUAUUUUAUAAAUAACCAUUAGCAGUUUAGGAAGAGUGACUCUUCAAAGAAUAACAUAUAACUUAUUUAUAAGACACGUUUUGAAGUAAGGGAGGUGUGGAAUCAGAAUGAUUCGAAAUUUAUCACAUUAAUAGGCAUGAUAAUAUACAAGAAAGAUAGUGAUCUCAGUGAUCUCAGUGCUUGUUGUCCAGGAUUAGGUUACAAGGAAAGUUCAGCAACACCUUUUUAAUUUAUAGCAAAAUCUGAAACCCGGAAUCACAUUAAUUUAAUACAUAAGAAGAAAAAUGAAACUAAUCAAGCUGAGCAUACCAAACUCCCUGGAUUUUGACAUCCUUUGGAGUCUUGGCUCCCAAGUCAGUGUCAGACGGCUGAAUGCUCUCAAACACCCCAAUCAACUCACCAUUCUCAGGCUUGCUCUUUGUCACACUCAGUGUGAUCUUCCCUGUUGAUGCUGCUGUAUUCUUGGUGUUCUCCUUUGCCAACUCCUCCUCGUCUCCUCUGCCACCUGCCGGCAACGCAACCGCAUUGUCGUAACCGGUAGAUCCUCCUCUUCCCUUGGGGUCCAAGAAAGAGGAUCCGCGGUAUGAUGGUACUAGAAACUCUCCUGUGAAGUUGUCAGGCUUGCCAGAGGCUACGAGCUGCUUGAUGGUAAAGAGGAAGGGCACGCGCUCACCUCCCGGGA